rnacentral:lncRNA from 1 species
UUUUAUUUUUCUUAUUGAAAUAUGAGUGAAUUUUUAUUUUUGUAUUUGUUUCUUAUAUUGAUAGAGAAAGCAAAAACUAUGGUGUUUUGAAAACAAGAGACUCUUGGUGAAUACAAAGUUCACUCGAAUAUGUUUACGAUUGAUUUGCCAAUAGUAGUUUAUUUAUUUCCCUUCCACUUUCAAUUUAUUAUUCUCUAUUCAAAUUUCAAGUUCGUCCACCAUGUGUUUUUUUUGCUUAUAGUUACAUUGACUUACUAUUUAUCUAUAUAUCACUAUGAUUUUUGUCUUUCUUUUGUUGGUUUAAUCGGGUUUUCUUUUGGAAAAUGUAUGUAUAUGGUUAUUGACAGGUGAGUAUUGGAUUGAUGUUAGCACUAGUAUUUAUAUUUUCCCUUUUUUUUGGAAUAUUGGAAGCUU